rnacentral:rRNA from 1 species
UACGGGGGGGGCAAGCGUUGUUCGGAAUUACUGGGCGUAAAGCGUGCGCAGGCGGUUUUGUAAGCCGGAUGUGAAAUCCCCGGGCUUAACCUGGGAAUGGCAUUCGGGACUGCAAGGCUGGAGUGCGGCAGAGGAGACUGGAAUUCCUGGUGUAGCAGUGAAAUGCGUAGAUAUCAGGAGGAACACCGAUGGCGAAGGCAGGUCUCUGGGCUGACACUGACGCUCAUGCACGAAAGCGUGGGGAGCAAACAGG